CCUACGGGCGGCAGCAGUGGGGCAUAUUGGGCAAUGGAGGCAACUCUGACCCAGCAACGCCGCGUGAAUGCUGAAGGUCUUCGGAUUGUAAAGUUCUGUGAUGGGGGAUGAACACAAUGACGGUACCCCAAUAGCAAGCCACGGCUAACUACGUGCCAGCAGCCGCUGGAAUACGUAGGUGGCAAGCGUUAUCCGGAAGGACUGGGCGUAAAGGGGGCGUAGGUGGUUUAGGAAGUUGGCGGUGUAAUUCCGGGGCUCAACCUGGGCGCUACAGCCAAAACUAGUAGACUAGAGUGCAGUAGGGGUGAGUGGAAUUCCUGGUGUAGAGGUGGAAUGCGUAGAUAUUAGGAGGAACAUCAGGGGCGAAGGCGACUUACUGGACUGUAACUGACACUGAGGCACGAAAGCGUGGGGAGCAAACAGGAUUAGAUACACGAGUAGUC
rnacentral:rRNA from 1 species